CCGAGCCGAGGCAGCCCCGACCUUGCGCGCUGCGAUGUAGCGAACCAGCGAGGACCGAAGCUGCGCGCACAGCCGGAGACACAGCUGGAACCGGGGCCCCAGCCGAAGUCGAAACCUCAGAGUCCGUGGCGAGCGAGCCCGGAGCCGACGAGCGGAGUACGCAGCGCAACCCGCGUGGGCUAUGCCGCAGAAAAGCAAAAGACAUCGGCCGGAGCCCCGGCUCUCUUCGCCGAGGACCCCGACGUCUCGCCGCCCGUGCUCGGAGGCGCCCCCAGCCCACGGCGGCCUGCCCUCGCCCGCACGGGUCGGGCUUUUCCUUACCCAGAGAGGAACCCCAAAUGCUCUUCGCAAAAUCCAAUAAAGACAUUCCCGCGGC